GAGGGUUAUAAUCCCUAAGUGCGGCCGCAGGCCACCUUCGCAGAAAGGCGUUCUCUGCAAACGGUGUUCAGCGCCUUUUCUUCGCGACACAGAAAGAGAAUUCUACUUUGUGAGGGUUAUAAUCCCUAAGUGCGGCCGAAGGCCGCCUACCCAG